AGUAGACGUUCAGAGUUUGAUCCUGGCUCAGGAUGAAUGCUGGCGGCGUGCCUAAUACAUGCAAGUCGAGCGGUAACAGGGGGUCGUCACCGUUUCCUUGACACACCUAGCGCUAGUUAUCGUAGGUGGAGAUAUUUCGAGGGAACAGUGAGACCCUGCUGACGAGCGGCGGACGGCUGAGUAACGCGUGGGAACGGACCCCAAACUGAGGGAUAACGCACCGAAAGGUAUGCUAAUACCGCAUAUGAUCUUCGGAUUAAAGUCUUCGGACGGUUUGGGACUGGCCUGCGUACGAUUAGAUAGUUGGCGGGGUAAUAGCCCACCAAGUCGACGAUCGUUAGAUGGUUUGAGAAGAUGAUCAUCCAGACUGGGACUGAGACACGGCCCAG
rnacentral:rRNA from 1 species